GAUGAACGCUAGCGGCAGGCUUAACACAUGCAAGUCGGAAGGGGUAACAAGGAAAAAGCUUGUCUUUUUUGCUGACGACCGGCGCACGGGUGCGUAACGCGUAUACAAUCUACCUUUUACUGGAGGAUAGCCCUAAGAAAUUGGGAUUAAUACUGCAUAAUAAGUUUAUAUCACCUGAUUUAAACUUCAAAGCUCCGGCGGUAAGAGAUGGGUAUGCGUCCUAUUAGUUAGUUGGUAAGGUAACGGCUUACCAAGACAUCGAUAGGUAGGGGGCCUGAGAGGGUUAUCCCCCACACUGGUACUGAGACACGGACCAG
rnacentral:rRNA from 1 species